AGUGAACGCUGGCGGCACACUUAACACAUGCAAGUCGAACGGAACUUCGGUUCAGUGGCGAACGGGUGAGUAAUAUACAAGAAUCUACCUAGUAGUGGGGGAUAACCAUUGGAAACGAUGGCUAAUACCGCAUACGCCGGAAACGGGAAAGAUUUAUUGCUAUUAGAUGAGCUUGUAUCUGAUUAGCUAGUUGGCGGGGUAAAUGCCCACCAAGGCGAUGAUCAGUAGCCGGUCUGAGAGGAUGAUCGGCCACAUUGGGACUGAGAUACGGCCCAAACUCCUACGGGAGGCAGCAGUGGGGAAUAUUGGACAAUGGGCGAAAGCCUGAUCCAGUGAUGCCGCGUGGAUGAUGAAGGCCUAUGGGUUGUAAAGUCCUUUUGUUAGGGAAGAUAAUGACUGUACCUAAAGAAUAAGUACUGACUAACUACGUGCCAGCAGCCGCGGUAAU
rnacentral:rRNA from 1 species